GACGAACGCUGGCGGCGUGCUUAACACAUGCAAGUCGAACGGUGAAGCGCCUUCCUUUUUGGUGGGUGUGGAUGAGUGGCGAACGGGUGAGUAACACGUGAGUAACCUGCCCCCUUCUUCUGGAUAACCGCAUGAAAGUGUGGCUAAUACGGGAUAUUCUGGGUCUGUCGCAUGAUGGGUCUGGGAAAGAUAUUGUUUCGGUGGGGGAUGGGCUCGCGGCCUAUCAGCUUGUUGGUGGGGUGAUGGCCUACCAAGGCGGUGACGGGUAGCCGGCCUGAGAGGGUGGACGGACACAGUGGGACUGAGACACGGCCCAGACUCCUACGGGAGGCAGCAGUGGGGAAUAUUGCACAAUGGGCGCAAGCCUGAUGCAGCGACGCCGCGUGAGGGAUGGAGGCCUUCGGGUUGUGAACCUCUUUCGCCAGUGAAGCAGGCCUGCCUCGUUUGUGGGUGGGUUGACGGUAGCUGGAGAAGAAGCGCCGGCUAACUACGUG
rnacentral:rRNA from 1 species